GUUGGUCUACACAACAAUAGUGGCCUUAGACUUCCCUUUUUAUUUUCUUCUUUUCAAUUAUUUUUAAAUUUCCCGCUCCAAUAGACAAGAGGCAUGAAUGCAUGCAGACAGUCAAACAUACAGAGGGAGAGCCAUGAAAAUAGAGUGGCCAAACAUUUUAUGCACUCCAAAGUCAUAUAAUAGUGCACAAAAUGAUUAGAACCA
rnacentral:misc_RNA from 1 species